AGAAUCAACGCUGGCGGCGUGCCUAACACAUGCAAGUCGAACGAGAAAGUGGAGCAAUCCAUGAGUAAAGUGGCGACCGGGUGAGUAACACGUGACUAACCUACCUUCGAGUGGGGGAUAACCCCGGGAAACCGGGGCUAAUACCGCAUAACAUCGCAAGAUCAAAGCAGCAAUGCGCUGGAAGAGGGGUCGCGGCUGAUUAGCUAGUUGGCGGGGUAACGCCCACCAAGGCGAAGAUCGGUA
rnacentral:rRNA from 1 species